GAUGAAGAACGUAGCGAAGUGCGAUAAGUAGUGUGAAUUGCAGAAUUCCGUGAAUCAUCGAAUUUUUGAACGCAAAUUGCACUCUCUGGUACUCCGGAGAGUAUGCCUAUUUGAGGGUCGGUUUAAAUAAAUAUCGGGGUGUUCUUGUCGAACACGUCGGAAUUGGGUGAUCUCGUACCUUCGAGUUUGAGUGACCUAAAAUUUAUUAUCACUUCGGUAUGAUUGCGUACUUAGUUAAAUUCGUCGCUUAAAAUACCGAAAAGUAUUUAUUAGACGUAACCAUCCAUUGUGAUGGCAUUAUGUCCAUAAUUUUCGAUUUUCGACCUCAAAUUAGGUAGGAGUACCCGCUGAACUUAAGCAUAUCAAUAAGCGGAGGA
rnacentral:misc_RNA from 1 species